rnacentral:siRNA from 1 species
ACAUUAGACCCAAAUCGAUAUGAU